UGUCAUCAUUUCAGUUUUGCAGAGCAGAAAGCAGAGACUCAGCGAGUAGCCUGCCUUGACCACACUACCAGAUGAGCAGCAGAGGCAAAGUACAGCAACUCUAUCCUACCUAACAUCGAAGUCUGCUUUCCACACCAUACUGGGCCGUUAUGAUGCUUAAUUCAGUUUAGGGAUAUUAACUGAAUCCAAUUAAGGCAGUGGGACCAUGAGGCCGCCCUGCUGUGAAUUCGUUUCCAGUCCAGCCAGCUCAGACAACACUCGGAUGGAUUAACGGACCCUGCUAGACUCCGACUCCCUCGCCUCGCCUCACUGAGCACAGCCCCAGGCUUCAGUGGCUGCACGUAACUGGCAUAACUCAAAUAGUGAAGUCCGUGGGGAAACAAAGCAACCACAACUCAAGAUAAUCCACUUGCACGAGAGGCUUCGGAUGGUGGUUUUGAUUUAACAAGUAGUGGUGGGAUAAUUGUGAGAACAUGCUGCUGGGAAAGAGCACCUGGUCUGGUCAGCCUGAUGUAGGGUGAGAUGCAUCAUUAACCCUCGUGUGAAGUCCAUGACCCUUGUCAAUGUUAGGUACAAAAUCCCAGGUUGGUGGGAUUUGGUGGUGCAACUUUUGAGAGCUCCAAAUGGUUUAAUAAAGUUAAAAAAAAGAGAGAGGUGAGGGAGAAACAAAGAGUCCUCCCCACCUUCCCUGAGUAAUGAGCCUCUUGGAUGAAAGACUACCUUGUAAAGGUUUUUCUCUCCAUUCUCCACUUCCCGCUGCCCAGAUCUGGACGGGGGAGCUCCCAAAUGGGGUAGCAGCUCCACAUUUCUAAUCCGAGCCCAGAUGGAUCUCCUGCCGUGCAUACGCGUUGUUGAGCAAACUGGUAAAUUAACCUGAGAGUCUUGCCUGAAUGAUGAGCUGCACGUAUCAGCUUGAGCAGAACAUUAGCAAGAGCUGGCGUAGGCCUCCAACCUCACCGAGUUUCCUCUCUCUCCUGCCAGUGGACAUGACAGCUCAGGAUAAGGUGACUGGGAGACCACGGGAGCAAAUGUGACACAAGGCAGAAGGCUGUCUUGAGACCUUCCAGCUGGUUUGCAUUUCCUCAUGGGAUAGGAGCCUUCUCCUGCAGGCUGGGAAGGCAGUGGGACCACCAUACGAUUUUAUGGAUCAGUUUUCACUUUUCCAGAUGCAAAGAGAGGAGCCGUAAUUACCUUGCGUACGUUUUGAUAACAUCCCUUGGGCAAGAGGUAGGUAUAACUCACAACAGAUAACCUCUGCUUUUGCUCCAGUGCUGUCUCCUUUAUCUGCAACAUGGGGGUGUUGAGUGAUGCCACAGGCAGCUGGAAGGGCUCAUUUAUUUGACCUAAUUAUUCCCAAUGUAGACCUGACUCAUCAGAACGGGCUCUUCUUCAAAGGAAAUGAGAGCCAGAUUGUCUCCUUGGCAGCAAUGGAAAACAAAUGCUAUCCACAGAAUGGCUGUUAGAUUGAAAAAAGGCGCAACUGGCUUUUGGGGCCAGGCGAUAUUUAACCAUGUUACCAAGAAUAGAGGGACUGGAGAGAGAGUAGUGUCAACUUCUGACAUGCUAGUUUGCUCAAAAUGUUCUUAAUAAAAUUAACUCGCCCUUGGAUGCCGUGGACAAAAGUAACCACAUACUCAGAUCCCAGGCAAAAAUGGAAACCUUCAGUGGGGUGUUUUUAUUAAUAACUGACUGAAUCCCUAUGGGUACAAUGGGGGACUUUUUUUAAUCUUUUUAAAAGAUUUUAUUUAUUUAUUCAUGAGAGACACACAGGAGGGGCAGAGACAUAGGCCGAGGGAGAGCCCUUCCUGAGGGGAGCCCGAUGCAGGACUCAAUCCCAGGAACCCAGAUCGUGACCUGAGCCAAAGACAGAUGGUCAACCACUGAGCCAUGCAGGCAUCCCAGUGGGAGACUUUUCACGUGGAAGCCUUAUGAUUUCUUGGUGCUCUUUGAUGCUCUACUGAAGAAUUGGAAUUAUCUCUUCUAAGGGAUGCGGAAAUGGAGAAGGGGAGUUGAAAUGGCCCUCCUGUUACCAUUAGGCACAUCAAACACAGAUCAGGAGCAGCAUGCCAUAUUCCCUCUGUGAAGCCUCAGAGUGGACGGCCUUAGCUCAAUGAUGCACGACUAAAUGUUGAAACUUCAUCUUAGACAAUUGCAAAUUGCCCAUACCGAAACGCAGGUGCACUGAAAAGAAUCCUUUAAAUGGUUCCUGGUCCCAUCUUCCUGUUUUACGGUUGUGGUUCGGAACGUCACAACCCUAAGAAAUUUGGGAAAGAUGUGUACUUGGCUGAUGUCCGUGGCACAGUCUGGCUCUCGGCCUUUUGUGCUGCAAUUCCUCGAGCACCGUGAAGGCGCCCCAUGGACCACACGGUUCCAGUGUCGCCUGUUGUCGCCAGAGAGGAACCUCCUAGAGCAUGGCAUUUGAUCUCAGCCUGGAUCCUGUUUGGGAAGAGGAGAGGGAAUCCCACAGGCCUGUUGUUCAGUCACGUCCUCUAACACUGUAGCAAGGCACGCACAUGGUUGCACUUGGCAUUCUGACACGUGCAUAGCGUGUUUUCAUCUCUUCCCUGGAGGUGAGGCCAAAGCCUGAGGUUCCUUUUGACACAGCUCUGCGAAAACUCUGGCUUUGUGCUCUCCUGUGCUUUGCAAUAACAUACCAGCUCUGCGGUGUGGCCAAUGUUUACUUAAUUGGUGGGAGGACUUUUUAAUAUCAAAAGGAAAACAUUUCUUCUGCAUUCCACAUAGGUAAGAUGUGGUUUGCUGUGGUACAAGGGUAAGGAUUGGGGGUGGGGAGGGAAUGAAGAGAGGAAAAACAAUC